rnacentral:rRNA from 1 species
UACGUAGGGGGCAAGCGUUGUCCGGAUUUAUUGGGCGUAAAGAGCGUGUUAGGCGGCCAAACAGGUCAGCUGUGAAAACUCGAGGCUCAACCCUCGAGACGUCGGUUGAAACCGUUUGGCUAGAGUCCGGAAGAGGAGGGUGGAAUUCCCGGUGUAGCGGUGAAAUGCGCAGAUAAUCGGGAAGAACACCCGUGGCGAAGGCGGCUCUCUGGGACGGUACUGACGCUGAGACGCGAAAGCGUGGGGAGCGAACAGG